CAAAAGAUAAGCUAAGGUUAAGCUAAUGGGUUCAUACCUCAUUUAUGGAUACACUCCUCUUUUUA
rnacentral:tRNA from 1 species